rnacentral:rRNA from 1 species
UGCAAAGCCGCGAGGCAGAGNGACCCCAAAAAGACCGUCUCAGUUCGGAUCGCAGGCUGCAACCCGCCUGCGUGAAGUCGGAAUCGCUAGUAAUCGCGGAUCAGCAUGCCGCGGUGAAUACGUUCCCGGGCCUUGUACACACCGCCCGUCACACCAUGAGAGUCGGGAACACCCGAAGUCCGUAGCCUAACCGCAAGGAGGGCGCGGCCGAAGGUGGGUUCGAUAAUUGGGGUGAAGUCGUAACAAGGUAGC